AUAAAUUUCCCGAGAAAUGCUGGAAAGGAAUUCCCACAUGGAAGCACUGCUUGGUACCACCGCCUCAGCCCCACUAGGCAGAGCUGGAAAAAUUCCUUUUGUGUUGCUGUGUCAUGCAUUACUGAGGGUUUCAGGUGAAGGAUGAAUGAAGGCAUGUGCGCCAGGCCAGGGACCUGGUUCUAGUGCUGAGUCUGCCAUGAACUCACCUGUGGCUUGUGGAACCAGUUGUAAAACCAGAGGAGGGUGUACACACAGAAGAGGUGUACAAUUGUUUCAAGGCUGGGGAAAGCAUUCCAAAGGGGACCUACUCCAGCUGAUCUCAGGACGGCAAAUGGCAAGUGGCAUGCUGUCCAAUGUCCAACUUCCCACUGUCAGCACCUGCAGGUCUUUGUCUUAAGUUUUGCUGGCUGUCCAGGGCUCACUGCAGGCCAAAAGGCUGGGGAGUUAAUCAGCAGCCUCCCUCAGCAGCCUUUGACGAGUGUGUGACGGGAGCUGGUGUCCCGGUCUGGAUGGAAGAAGUCCACCUGCAUUUAACACCAGUUGUACAGAAUUCUCAGUUCUCCUGUGUGCAACUGCUCAGAGUUAAGUAUUCAGAAUAAUCAACUGCAUAUUUAAAGUUCUAUCCAUCUCUCUUCUUUAGAUCUUAAGAGCUAAGGUUUGUUUUCUCUCUCCGUUCGUUGUAUCCUACAGAAUGCCUGCAGCCCUGGUUUGGGCUGUUUGGUUGGUGCUGUACAUCUAGACCUGCCUUUUCCUGGCUUAGCUGUGUCUGGGAGUUAGUCUAAGCUGCAGGGAUGGGUGGGGAGAGGGCUUCACUGCACUCAGGCUGUGGAUGGAACUAGCAGCUUCGGCUGGAAGGCUCGAGGGUGGUUCAGGGCAUGGAUUAUUGGACUCUCUCUCUGCUCCAUGACCAAGUGUCCCCCUUGGCUGCUGACAUUUGCAUGGGUGUGGGGUAGAGGGAGGUUGCUCUUUAACCAUUUCAUGUCCACUGUAGUGUAGGUAACGCUAGCACAUGCUGCAAGUGAGGAUGCCAAACUUGCUAUUUCCCACAACUUCUCUAGGUCUCCAAAUACAACUAAGGAAUAGAAAGGCAUUUCUUUCUGUUCCUUGACAAUGUCUAGCUUAUUCUCAUCUCGGCGUAUCUACUUGCCCUCCCCCACUCACAUUAUUUUAGUCUUUACUCAAAUGUUCCUUCUCAGAGUGACAAUCCCAGCCCACCCCAUCUAGAGAAACCACCUCUCCCGCCAACCAUGCUCUAUCAUUUUACUACUUUAUUAUUAGUAUUUUUUGCAAAGCAUUGAUCUCUACUGUGAACUGUGGUAUGUAUUGGUGUGCUUGUUUCUUGUAACCUGUCUCCUGGAAUGUCCUCUCGGUGAAGGUACAGGCUUUGUCCCAGACGCUAACACCUGACAGAUACACAAGGGGUGCUCCAAAUGAUACUAAACAGGAUUCUUCCUCUGAAAUGGAGGGGCCUAGGAUGGAUAGGGGGAAUCAGUGCUGACUCCUCAGCUGGGGAUGGCCUGGCACCCUCUCACAGGCUUCAUGGUGAUGGUGCCCACAGAACAGACACCUCUCAUUCUCCAAAGAGGACUGAGGACCCAGUCUAGACUUCGUCCAGGGUGUCAUUUAUGUUUACAAUUCCUAAAGGGAAAUGACUAACCCUGUGAUGUCAAAAAGAACUUGAAGCCUGCUCUAGGAGGUGGAGCUAAAAGAAAAACACUGAGUUGCUAGAAAGGAAGGAGGAAAGUCAUUUGGAGAAGGGACAGGAGCUUAAGAAGGUACUGUUUGAAAGAGAAGGAGAUUCCACGGUAAGGGCCCCCCAAAUGCCCAAGAAGAAGGGGUGAACAGCCUUUCAGACACCUAUAAAACUUUCCAAUGCAUGGUCCAGUUGACAUAUGGCCAGGAAAGGACAUGUACAACUUAAAGGGAACAGUCUCCUGGGCAUAAGCUAUUACUUUUCAAAGCAGCCUAGAGAAAGAAAUUGCAUCGUGUUAUUCUCAUUCUCUCCCUCAAUGUCUUUCCCUCUGAAUUUCAAUCUCUCUCUCUCUCUCUGUAUGUCUCUCUGUCUCCAUCCUUGUCUGUCCUACCCUUGUCCUGGAGCUCUCUAUGUUCUCUGUGUGUUUUCUGAUGUCUGCCUCUCUUCCCUUCUGAGAUCCUUUUCUGAUGGAUGUGUGAACGGAUGGUUUUGCAUGCAAGCUCAUCAGCAGUCACUUGAGUGGAUUCCGUAAAAACUUUCUGAAACCAAAUCAAAUGAAAACCAACCCAUAAACUGGGGAAAACAAAAGGGCCCUUUGGACUUGAAAAGGUUAGAGAAGACUGCAGGAGCUGCACACACCGUUCGAUCGCGUUCGAAGCUGGGGUUUUAAUUUAGUUUUCCUAUUUACCCCGUUGAAGUUCCUCACUGCUCAACUGCUAAUGCAUUUCCAACUGAAAUUUUGUAAAUUAUAUUGGGAAACAUUCUCAGCUAGAGUAGAUUGUGCAAGCUCUCAUAAUGGCUUCCUGCUGCUGUGUCUGGCAAUAUAAGGCUCUUUGGGAGCAAUGUGUAUGUGGACGCACAUCUUUAAGAACUCUUUCCACUUUAUCCCCCUUGGCCGGAGGCUCUGCACUCUCGGUGCCUGACUGUGAGCAGAUCUGGACUUUCCAUCAGCCCUAAAAGCAGGAUCUUGGCACUUCUCCUUUUCCAACUUGACAGGAUACCCCCUCAACCUUUUCUUGUUCAUCUUUAAUAAAAUCACUCCCCCAACGAGUUUAUGAGCUCUUCUAAAGUGUAGCCCAUGCCUCUGCACUAAACCCUCCCAAGGCACCCUGCUGCCUACAAAGUAAAAUCCUGGAGGUUUGGUUUUUAGCAAGCCAUGUAAGAUUACCCCAAAUUUCAACCCCAAUCUAUUUUCCUAACAACGUAUUCCAUUCCUCUUCUUCAUGGAUAAAAUACAUCUCAUUGCUUGCACCCCUCUCUGUUUUCAUCCUAGACAAAAGCCUCAUCUCUCACCUGGACAAGUGUGCAGCCUCCUACCUAGCUUCUGCACCUAAUCUCUGCCCCUACCCCUAACACACACACAGUUCACCUUGCGAAGGACAGUCCAUGAUAAGGACUCUGGAAUGCCCAAGAGGAAAGGGUGAAGAGACUUGUAGACCCCCGAUAUGGUUUGGCUGUGUCCCCACCCAAAUCUCAUCUUGAAUUGUAGCUCCCACAAUUCCCAUGUGUCAUCGGAGGGACCAGGAGGGAGGUAAUUGAAUCAUGGGGGCGGCUCUUUCCUGUGCUGUUCUCAUGAUAGUGAAUAAGCCUCAUGAGAUCUGCUGGUUUUAUAAGGGGGAGUUUCCCUACACCAGUUCUCUCUUGUCUGCUGCCAUGUAAAACACACCUUUUGCCUUCUGCCAUGAUUGUGAGGCCUCCCCAGCCACGUGGAACUGUGAGUCUAUUAAACCUCUUUUUCCUUAUAAAUUACCCAGUCUCAAGUAAGUCUUAUCAGCAGCAUGAAAACAAUCUAAUACAAGCUCCUUCCUGUGAUUUGCCAGGCUCUCCUAAGCUGCUUUUCUCAAACGCGCCAAGCUCAUUCCUCCCACCCAUCCAGGGCCUCUCAUUUGCUGCUCCCUCUGCCCGGAACCCUCUUUCCUUAGGCAGCAUGGAAACAUCUACCUUAAUGCAUUUGCUCUCUGCUCAAAUGUCAUCUCAAGAGAUCUCCCUGCCCACCUGACUUAUGGUGUAAAAGUAUGGGCCAGGCACAGUGGCUCAUGCCUGUAAUCCCAACACUUUGGGAGAACAAGGCGGGCAGAUCACCUGAGGUUGGUUGACCAACAUGGAGCAACCCUGUCUCUACUAAAAAUACAAAAUUAGCAGGGCGUGGUGGUGCUUGCCUGUAAUCCCAGCUACUCGGGAGGCUGAGGCAGGAGAAUCACUUGAACCCAGGAGGCAGAGGUUGCAAUGAGCUGAGAUGGUGCCAUUGCACUCUAGCCUGGGCAACAAGAAUGAAACUCUGUCUCAAAAAAAAAAAAAAAAAAA